rnacentral:rRNA from 1 species
AGUCUGCAACCCGACUACACGAAGCCGGAAUCGCUAGUAAUCGCGGAUCAGAAUGCCGCGGUGAAUACGUUCCCGGGUCUUGUACACACCGCCCGUCACACCAUGGGAGUUGGGAGCACCCGAAGCCGGUGAGUUGACCGCAAGGGGACAGCCGUCGAAGGUGAGACUGAUGACUGGGGUGAAGUCGUAACAAGGUACC